UACGGAGGGUGCAAGCGUUAAUCGGAAUUACUGGGCGUAAAGCGUGCGCAGGCGGUUUUGUAAGCCAGAUGUGAAAUCCCCGGGCUCAACCUGGGAAUGGCAUUUGGGACUGCAAGGCUUGAGUGCGGCAGAGGAGACUGGAAUUCCUGGUGUAGCAGUGAAAUGCGUAGAUAUCAGGAGGAAUACCGAUGGCGAAGGCAGGUCUCUGGGCUGACACUGACGCUCAUGCACGAAAGCGUGGGGAGCAAACAGG
rnacentral:rRNA from 1 species